rnacentral:rRNA from 1 species
GAUGAACGCUGGCUACAGGCUUAACACAUGCAAGUCGUGGGGAAACGGCAUUAUGUGCUUGCACAUUCUGGACGUCGACCGGCGCACGGGUGAGUAUCGCGUAUCCAACCUGCCCCUUACUUGGGGAUACCCCGUUGAGAGACGGCCUAAUACCCGAUGUGUUUCAUUGACGGCAUCCGAUAUGAAACAAAGGUUUUUCCGGUAAGGGAUGGGGAUGCGUCUGAUUAGCUUGUUGGCGGGGCAACGGCCCACCAAGGCGACGAUCAGUAGGGGUUCUGAGAGGAAGGUCCCCCACAUUGGAACUGAGACACGGUCCAAACUCCUACGGGAGGCAGCAGUGAGGAAUAUUGGUCAAUGGACGCAAGUCUGAACCAGCCAAGUAGCGUGCAGGAUGACGGCCCUAUGGGUUGUAAACUGCUUUUAUGUGGGAAUAAAGUGGCGCACGUGUGCGCCAUUGCAUGUACCUCAUGAAUAAGGACCGGCUAAUUCCGUGCCAGCAGCCGCGGUAAUACGGAAGGUCCGGGCGUUAUCCGGAUUUAUUGGGUUUAAAGGGAGUGUAGGCGGUCUGUUAAGCGUGUUGUGAAAUUUAGGUGCUCAACAUUUAACUUGCAGCGCGAACUGUCAGACUUGAGUACACGCAGCGCAGGCGGAAUUCAUGGUGUAGCGGUGAAAUGCUUAGAUAUCAUGAGGAACUCCGAUCGCGAAGGCAGCCUGCGGGAGUGUUACUGACGCUUAAGCUCGAAGGUGCGGGUAUCGAACAGG